rnacentral:lncRNA from 1 species
UAAACUUUUUACAUCUAAGAUAAAUUAUAUAAGAUCCUUAAUUUACAAAUAAGAGAAUUCUAUUCUGUUUUAAUGCCUGUAAUGUUUGUUCAAAAUAAUAAUAAUUUUUUAUUACAAUGAUUUUAUAUAUUAGGUAGAUGCCCAUUCUGUUCCUAUUUUCAAAAGUUUAUUAUACCUAUGCAAUGCCUUUGCUCAGGUUAAAGAAUGGAAUAAAAGUCUAGCAUCAAAUGUAUAGCUAACUAUUUUAAUUUGUGAUCAGAGCAACUGAUCUCCGUUCAAUUUUUAUCAUCAAAAGUUAGUUCUACCUUCGCAGGACCUCUGCUCUACAUACCUCCUCUCUGGUUAAAGAAUGGAAUAUAAGUCUCAUUUAUCAAGUUGGUGUAAAAAUUUAGCUUGAUAAAUUAAGAAGUUGUAAACUUUAUUAUCACAAUUGCCAAGUUGACCAAAUGUUCUUCUGGUUUUAAAUGAAUUAUGUAUGAGUCUAGUAUCAUCUGGGUGUUCAAAGAUAGUUUACUGCUUGAAGAACUUAUCAAUGGACCAACUAAUUAUAAAACAGUUUUUAAUGAAAAUAAAAAAGAAUUAUCAAAAGAUUUAAAUCAGCUAUUUGUGUAUAUUUAAACACUUUAUUUUUUGUGAGAAGAGAUUAUUGAUAUAAGUACCA